rnacentral:rRNA from 1 species
UACGUAGGGUGCAAGCGUUAUCCGGAAUUAUUGGGCGUAAAGAGCUCGUAGGCGGUUUGUCGCGUCUGCUGUGAAAACUGGAGGCUCAACCUCCAGCCUGCAGUGGGUACGGGCAGACUAGAGUGCGGUAGGGGAGAUUGGAAUUCCUGGUGUAGCGGUGAAAUGCGCAGAUAUCAGGAGGAACACCGGUGGCGAAGGCGGAUCUCUGGGCCGUAACUGACGCUGAGGAGCGAAAGCAUGGGUAGCGAACAGG